GCGGGCCCGUCUUCACCGACUCCGGCAUCCACAUCAUCCUCCGCACUGAGUGACCCCACACUCCUCGGGAAAAUCCUCGGGAAUUCCCAGGGAAAAGCUUCGGGAAUUCCCAGGGAAAAUCCUUGGGGAUCCUCGGGAAUUUCAGGGGAAAGUCUUCGGGAUUUCCGGGGGGAAAAUCCUCGGGAAUUCCGGGGGAAAAUCUUCGGGAAUUUCAGGGGAAAAUCCUCGAAAAUCUUCGGGAAUUUCAGGGGAAAUCCUUGGGAAUUUCAGGGGGAAAAGCCUCAGGAAUUCCAGGGGAAAGUCCUUGGGAAUCCUCGGAAAUCCUCGGGAAUUCCGGAGGAAAAUCUUAGGGAAUCCUCGGGAAUUUCAGGGGAAAUCCUUGGGAAUUCUGGGGGAAAAUCCUCGGGGAAGUCCAGAGAAAUCCUUGGGAAAAUCCUCGGGAAUCCUCGGGAAUUUCAGGGGAAAAUCUUCAGGAAAUCCUCGGGAAUUCCAGGAGAAUCCUUGGGGAAAUCCAGGGGGAAAUCCUCGGGAAUUCCGGAGGAAAAUCUUAGGGAAUCCUUGGGAAUUCCAGGAGAAUCCUUGGGAAUUCUGGGGGAAAAUCUUCAGGAAUUCCAGGGGAAAACCCUCGGGAAUUCCAGGGGAAAACCCUCGGGAAUCCUCAGAAAUUCCCGGGGGGAAAUCCUUGGGAAUCUUCAGGAAUUUCAGGGGAAAAUCCUCAGGAAUUCCAGGGGAAAAUCCUUGGGAAUCCUCGGGAAUUUCAGGGAAAUCCUCGGGAAUCUUCAGGAAUUUCUGGGGGAAAAUCCUUGGGGAAAUCCAGGGGGAAAUCCUCGGGAAUUCCGGAGGAAAAUCUUAGGGAAUCCUUGGGAAUUCCGGGGGGAAAAUCCUUGGGAAUCCACGGGAGAGUUGUGGAGAUCUGUGGAAGUCUAUGGAAGUUCUCAGGAAUUCAUGAGAGUCCUUGGGAAUCCUGAGGAAUCCAGAGAAAUCCUUGGGAAUCUUCGGGAAUUCCAGGGGAAAAUCUUCAGGAAUCCUCGGGAAUUCCGGGGGAAAAUCUUCAGGAAUUCAGAGAAAUCCUUGGGAGCCCAGAGAAAUCCAGAGGAAUCUUUGGGAAUCCACGGGAGAGUUGUGGAAGUUCUCAGGAAUUCAUGA
rnacentral:lncRNA from 1 species